UACGUAGGUGGCAAGCGUUAUCCGGAUUUAUUGGGCGUAAAGGGAACGCAGGCGGUCUUUUAAGUCUGAUGUGAAAGCCUUCGGCUCAACCGGGGUAGUGCAUUGGAAACUGGGAGACUUGAGUGCAGAAGAGGAGAGUGGAACUCCAUGUGUAGCGGUGAAAUGCGUAGAUAUAUGGAAGAACACCAGUGGCGAAAGCGGCUCUCUGGUCUGUAACUGACGCUGAGGUUCGAAAGCGUGGGUAGCAAACAGG
rnacentral:rRNA from 1 species